GAGAGAAAGAAAGAGCUUGAGACUAAAGAAGAGGGAGACGGGAAGAAGUUGAUGCUCGAUUCGAACAGAAAUUGAGUGAACUGAUCAUCCCAGGGGGAGAGAUUUGGACUGGAAACAGAGAAAAGAGUUCUAAAUUUUGUUCACUAGAAUAUCCGGGAAAGAAGAAAAGGGAUUGAAAUUGGUAAGAUUCCAGAAUUUAAAGGUUUGAUUUGGUUAGAUUUCUAGGUUUGCGUUUUUGUUGUGUUUUGCUGAAAUGGUACCCGCGCUUUGUUGCGGGAUUUGUUGUGUUUUUUUAAAGGAUGUGAAGGCUUUAAGGUAAUGCAUAAAUGAAGCAUUUUAUAUUAA